rnacentral:rRNA from 1 species
UACAGAGGGUGCAAACGUUGUUCGGAUUUACUGGGCGUAAAGCGCGUGUAGGCGGCUUUGCAAGUCGGGUGUGAAAGCCCUCAGCUCAACUGAGGAAGUGCGCCCGAAACUGCAGAGCUUGAGUGCCGGAGAGGGUGGCGGAAUUCCCCAAGUAGAGGUGAAAUUCGUAGAUAUGGGGAGGAACACCGGUGGCGAAGGCGGCCACCUGGACGGUAACUGACGCUGAGACGCGAAAGCGUGGGGAGCAAACAGG